CCCCCCGAAUUGUAGUCUAGAAAGGCGCCAUCGGCCGCGUCCGUCGCUCAAAUCCCUUGGAACAGGGUAUCGGAGAAGGUGAGAAUCCUGUACCGUGGCGGAUCGCGGCCGCACGAUGCGUUUUUGCAGAGUCGGGUUGCUUGGGAUUGCAGCUUGAAUUGGGAGGUAAAUUCCUUCUAAAGCUAAAUAUUGGUUCAUGACCGAUAGCGAACAAGUACCGUGAGGGAAAGAUGCAAAGAACUUUGAAAAGAGAGUUAAAGAGUGCUUGAAAUCGGUAAGAGGAAACCCGUUUGUGCCCGGUUUCGCGACUCCUAUCCAAUUCCUCUGGGAUGCAUCUAGGUUAGCGGGUCCGCUGCGAUUCGGUCUGUCACAUAACCGCUUGGGGGGCUUCGGUGAGCCAAGUGACUGAGCGGACCGGAUUCCGGCGGACGGAACGGGCACAACCGACCCGUCUAGAAACACGGACCAAGGAGUCUGACACGGAUGCGAGUACCCGGGUGGCAAGCCCGCGUGCGCAAUGAAAGUAAAGGGCGUGCCCCGCCAACCGACCUUGAUCUUCUGUGAAGGGUUUGAGUCGAGCAUCACUGUCGGGACCCGAAAGAUGGUGAACUAUGCCUGAGGAGGUUGAAGUCUGCCGAAAGGCAGAUGGAGGGCCGUAGCGAUACUGACGUGCAAAUCGUUCGUCGAACUUGGGUAUAGGGGCGAAAGACUAAUCGAACCAUCUAGUAGCUGGUUCCCUCCGAAGUUUCCCUCAGGAUAGCUUGGACGCAAGGGUUUUGU
rnacentral:rRNA from 1 species